CGGAGGGAUCAUUACCGAGUUUACAACUCCCAAACCCCUGUGAACAUACCUUAUGUUGCCUCGGCGGAUCAGCCCGCGCCCCGUAAAACGGGACGGCCCGCCGCAGGAACCCCAAACUCUGUUUUUAGUGGAACUUCUGAGUAUAAAAAACAAAUAAAUCAAAACUUUCAACAACGGAUCUCUUGGUUCUGGCAUCGAUGAAGAACGCAGCAAAAUGCGAUAAGUAAUGUGAAUUGCAGAAUUCAGUGAAUCAUCGAAUCUUUGAACGCACAUUGCGCCCGCCAGUAUUCUGGCGGGCAUGCCUGUUCGAGCGUCAUUUCAACCCUCAAGCCCAGCUUGGUGUUGGGAGCUGCGUUAGCGCACUCCCCAAAUACAUUGGCGGUCACGUCGAGCUUCCAUAGCGUAGUAAUUUACACAUCGUUACUGGUAAUCGUCGCGGCCACGCCGUAAAACCCCAACUUCUGAAUGUUGACCUCGGAUCAGGUAGGAAUACCCGCUGAACUUAAGCAUAUCAAUAAGCGGAGGAAAAGAAACCAACAGGGAUUGCCCUAGUAACGGCGAGUGAAGCGGCAACAGCUCAAAUUUGAAAUCUGGCUUUCGGGCCCGAGUUGUAAUUUGUAGAGGAUGAUUUUGAUGCGGUGCCUUCCGAGUUCCCUGGAACGGGACGCCAUAGAGGGUGAGAGCCCCGUCUGGUUGGAUGCCAAAUCUCUGUAAAUCUCCUUCGACGAGUCGAGUAGUUUGGGAAUGCUGCUCUAAAUGGGAGGUAUAUGUCUUCUAAAGCUAAAUACC
rnacentral:rRNA from 1 species